rnacentral:rRNA from 1 species
AUGGGAAACAGGUUAAUAUUCCUGUACUUGGUGUUACUGCGAAGGGGGGACGGAGAAGGCUAUGUUGGCCGGGCGACGGUUGUCCCGGUUUAAGCGUGUAGGCUGGUUUUCCAGGCAAAUCCGGAAAAUCAAGGCUGAGGCGUGAUGACGAGGCACUACGGUGCUGAAGCGACAAAUGCCCUGCUUCCAGGAAAAGCCUCUAAGCAUCAGGUAACACAAUCGUACCCCAAACCGACACAGGUGGUCAGGUAGAGAAUACCAAGGCGCUUGAGAGAACUCGGGUGAAGGAACUAGGCAAAAUGGUGCCGUAACUUCGGGAGAAGGCACGCUGAUAUGUAGGUGAAGCGACUUGCUCGUGGAGCUGAAAUCAGUCGAAGAUACCAGCUGGCUGCAACUGUUUAUUAAAAACACAGCACUGUGCAAACACGAAAGUGGACGUAUACGGUGUGACGCCUGCCCGGUGCCGGAAGGUUAAUUGAUGGGGUUAGCGGUAACGCGAAGCUCUUGAUCGAAGCCCCGGUAAACGGCGGCCGUAACUAUAACGGUCCUAAGGUAGCGAAAUUCCUUGUCGGGUAAGUUCCGACCUGCACGAAUGGCGUAAUGAUGGCCAGGCUGUCUCCACCCGAGACUCAGUGAAAUUGAACUCGCUGUGAAGAUGCAGUGUACCCGCGGCAAGACGGAAAGACCCCGUGAACCUUUACUAUAGCUUGACACUGAACAUUGAGCCUUGAUGUGUAGGAUAGGUGGGAGGCUUUGAAGUGUGGACGCCAGUCUGCAUGGAGCCGACCUUGAAAUACCACCCUUUAAUGUUUGAUGUUCUAACGUUGGCCCGUAAUCCGGGUUGCGGACAGUGUCUGGUGGGUAGUUUGACUGGGGCGGUCUCCUCCUAAAGAGUAACGGAGGAGCACGAAGGUUGGCUAAUCCUGGUCGGACAUCAGGAGGUUAGUGCAAUGGCAUAAGCCAGCUUGACUGCGAGCGUGACGGCGCGAGCAGGUGCGAAAGCAGGUCAUAGUGAUCCGGUGGUUCUGAAUGGAAGGGCCAUCGCUCAACGGAUAAAAGGUACUCCGGGGAUAACAGGCUGAUACCGCCCAAGAGUUCAUAUCGACGGCGGUGUUUGGCACCUCGAUGUCGGCUCAUCACAUCCUGGGGCUGAAGUAGGUCCCAAGGGUAUGGCUGUUCGCCAUUUAAAGUGGUACGCGAGCUGGGUUUAGAACGUCGUGAGACAGUUCGGUCCCUAUCUGCCGUGGGCGCUGGAGAACUGAGGGGGGCUGCUCCUAGUACGAGAGGACCGGAGUGGACGCAUCACUGGUGUUCGGGUUGUCAUGCCAAUGGCACUGCCCGGUAGCUAAAUGCGGAAGAGAUAAGUGCUGAAAGCAUCUAAGCACGAAACUUGCCCCGAGAUGAGUUCUCCCUGACCCUUUAAGGGUCCUGAAGGAACGUUGAAGACGACGACGUUGAUAGGCCGGGUGUGUAAGCGCAGCGAUGCGUUGAGCUAACCGGUACUAAUGAACCGUGAGGCUUAACCUU